UCUCCGUUGGUGCACCAGCGGAGGGAUCAUUUCAGAGUUAUCUAACUCCCAAACUCAUGUGAACUUACCUUUUGUUGCCUCGGCAGAGCCUACCCGGUAACAGUUCGGAGAAGCUACCCUGUAGCUACCCUGUAACGGCCUACCCUGUAACGCACUGCCGGUGGACUUUUAAACACUUGUUAUUUUAUAGUAAUCUGAGCGUCUUAUUUUAAUAAGUCAAAACUUUCAACAACGGAUCUCUUGGUUCUGGCAUCGAUGAAGAACGCAGC
rnacentral:misc_RNA from 1 species